rnacentral:lncRNA from 12 species
AUGAGCCAGUGGGAUGCUUGGCAGCAGAAGGGAAGGAAAACCAAAUUGACAGCCUUUGGCUUCCCCAGGCUGGGAGCAGCCAGCCCUCAGUGUCCUGUUCUGAGUGUGACAGCACAGAGCUGCCACCUCCCCCAGGCUGGGACCAGAGCAGGACAGGUUCGAAGAACCCACACAGACAAUCCCAGGUCAGCACUUGCGGGGUUCAAUUCCAAAGAGAGCAGAGAUGUGCUGAGCCCACACUGCUGGAGCUUCCCAGGAGGGUUUGGGUCACAACCAGGAGCUGGCAACCCUCAAUCUGCUGAGCUUCACCCCUGGGACAGAUUUCCAGCCAGGCAGGAGCUGGAGUUUCACGCUUUUUUUUUUUUUUUUCUCCUAGGCUCGCUUUGCUGCUGGAGAAAAUUUCCACCUCCUGGUGACCUCUGUGCUGCUGCUCCUGCACCGUGCCCUGAGAGUGGGAAAAUCUGAACUGGCUGGGGUUUAACUGGGGACUAAACCAGGACAAGAGCUGUGGAGGGGCUGGAGCUGGAAAGGGCAGGGAAAGGAGCUGGGAAGGGGCUGGAGAAUCCCUGAGGGGCUGGGGGGGGGGGGGGGGGGGGGGGGGGGGGGGGGGGGGGGGGGGGGGGGGGGGGGGGGGGGGGGGGGGGGGGGGGGGGGGGGGGGGGGG